rnacentral:rRNA from 1 species
AGUGGCGGACGGGUGAGUAAUAUAUCGGAACGUGCGCAGUAGCGGGGGAUAACUACUCGAAAGAGUGGCUAAUACCGCAUACGCCCUACGGGGGAAAGGGGGCGAUCGCAAGACCUCUCACUAUUGGAGCGGCCGAUAUCGGAUUAGCUAGUUGGUGGGGUAAAGGCUCACCAAGGCAACGAUCCGUAGCUGGUUUGAGAGGACGACCAGCCACACUGGGACUGAGACACGGCCCAGACUCUUACGGGAGGCAGCAGUGGGGAAUUUUGGACAAUGGGGGAAACCCUGAUCCAGCCAUCCCGCGUGUAUGAUGAAGGCCUUCGGGUUGUAAAGUACUUUUGGCAGAGAAGAAAAGGUAUCCCCUAAUACGGGAUACUGCUGACGGUAUCUGCAGAAUAAGCACCGGCUAACUACGUGCCAGCAGCCGCGGUAAUACGUAG